UACGAGGGGGGCAAGCGUUGUUCGGAAUUAUUGGGCGUAAAGGGCUCGUAGGCGGUUUGUCGCGUCGGGAGUGAAAACCAGGUGCUUAACACCUGGCUUGCUUUCGAUACGGGCAGACUAGAGGUAUUCAGGGGAGAACGGAAUUCCUGGUGUAGCGGUGAAAUGCGCAGAUAUCAGGAGGAACACCGGUGGCGAAAGCGCUCUGCUGGACCUGCACUGACACUGAGGGACGAAAGCUAGGGGAGCGAAAGGG
rnacentral:rRNA from 1 species